AGAGUUUGAUCAUGGCUCAGAUUGAACGCUGGCGGCAGGCCUAACACAUGCAAGUCGAGCGGUAGCACAGAGAGCUUGCUCUCGGGUGACGAGCGGCGGACGGGUGAGUAAUGUCUGGGAAACUGCCUGAUGGAGGGGGAUAACUACUGGAAACGGUAGCUAAUACCGCAUAACGUCGCAAGACCAAAGUGGGGGACCUUCGGGCCUCAUGCCAUCAGAUGUGCCCAGAUGGGAUUAGCUAGUAGGUGGGGUAACGGCUCACCUAGGCGACGAUCCCUAGCUGGUCUGAGAGGAUGACCAGCCACACUGGAACUGAGACACGGUCCAGACUCCUACGGGAGGCAGCAGUGGGGAAUAUUGCACAAUGGGCGCAAGCCUGAUGCAGCCAUGCCGCGUGUGUGAAGAAGGCCUUCGGGUUGUAAAGCACUUUCAGCGGGGAGGAAGGCGAUAAGGUUAAUAACCUUGUCGAUUGACGUUACCCGCAGAAGAAGCACCGGCUAACUCCGUGCCAGCAGCCGCGGUAAUACGGAGGGUGCAAGCGUUAAUCGGAAUUACUGGGCGUAAAGCGCACGCAGGCGGUCUGUCAAGUCGGAUGUGAAAUCCCCGGGCUUAACCUGGGAACUGCAUUCGAAACUGGCAGGCUAGAGUCUUGUAGAGGGGGGUAGAAUUCCAGGUGUAGCGGUGAAAUGCGUAGAGAUCUGGAGGAAUACCGGUGGCGAAGGCGGCCCCCUGGACAAAGACUGACGCUCAGGUGCGAAAGCGUGGGGAGCAAACAGGAUUAGAUACCCUGGUAGUCCACGCCGUAAACGAUGUCGAUUUGGAGGUUGUGCCCUUGAGGCGUGGCUUCCGGAGCUAACGCGUUAAAUCGACCGCCUGGGGAGUACGGCCGCAAGGUUAAAACUCAAAUGAAUUGACGGGGGCCCGCACAAGCGGUGGAGCAUGUGGUUUAAUUCGAUGCAACGCGAAGAACCUUACCUGGUCUUGACAUCCACAGAACUUUCCAGAGAUGGAUUGGUGCCUUCGGGAACUGUGAGACAGGUGCUGCAUGGCUGUCGUCAGCUCGUGUUGUGAAAUGUUGGGUUAAGUCCCGCAACGAGCGCAACCCUUAUCCUUUGUUGCCAGCGGUUCGGCCGGGAACUCAAAGGAGACUGCCAGUGAUAAACUGGAGGAAGGUGGGGAUGACGUCAAGUCAUCAUGGCCCUUACGACCAGGGCUACACACGUGCUACAAUGGCAUAUACAAAGAGAAGCGACCUCGCGAGAGCAAGCGGACCUCAUAAAGUAUGUCGUAGUCCGGAUUGGAGUCUGCAACUCGACUCCAUGAAGUCGGAAUCGCUAGUAAUCGUAGAUCAGAAUGCUACGGUGAAUACGUUCCCGGGCCUUGUACACACCGCCCGUCACACCAUGGGAGUGGGUUGCAAAAGAAGUAGGUAGCUUAACCUUCGGGAGGGCGCUUACCACUUUGUGAUUCAUGACUGGGGUGAAGUCGUAACAAGGUAACCGUAGGGGAACCUGCGGUUGGAUCACCU
rnacentral:rRNA from 6 species